GUUACAGGUGUGAGCCACUGCACCCAGCCUAAAUGAGUGAGUCUUUAACCUUCCCUCUGGUUGACUUGGGUAGAACUCCAAGGAAUAUGAAAGUCAAUUCUUCUAAUAGAUGGUAAAUGAAGCCCUUUGGAUUUGAAUAAAGAGAAUGGUUCUCUCUCUCUUUCUCUUGACUUCACUCUCUCUUGCUCUCUCCUGCUCUCUCUCUCUCUCUCAUCCUCCCAGGAAGAGACAGAUUAGACUUAUUGGGAGGCUGGUAAGUUAUGCUUUAAUAUGUUAAGCUAGGUGGAAACACCAUUACUAGAAAAUAAUUUAGACCUUGGGCACCUUGGACUCAACAUGUGUUGUACUGAUGUUUUCCAGUGCCUUGGUGAUUCAUACAACUUUCUGGGAUCUUUUGAUUAACAGAGAAAAAGUCAUAAGAUCAGCAAGAAGAGAAACUGUAGAUUUGCCUCAACUCAACAUGUUAAGUAAUCGCCUGACAUCUACAUAAGACCACCUCUUGGCACCUGGCUACACAAGCUGAAAUGGUAAAACUCCUUGAGAAACCACACAAGGAUGGAAUACUUGCUUAGAGACAUGAGAGUAGCCUAGAAUCUAAGAAUCUGUACUUCCUUCUACAGUUGUCUUUGGAAAAAGAAUAGACAUUCAUGGCAGACCAAAGAUCACUCUCUGAAGGUGUUAUGUGAGAAAUCCACACAGGAGAAACCCAAGAAAACCACGCAGGUAAAUGCUAGCCUGGAAAGACAGAGGGAAAACAUGCCAAGUGGAGCCCACCACAAGGACAGCAGUCAGAGCCCAAGAGCCCAGCUUUAAAAGGCAUGUAUUCACUGAUGUGCUUUAAAAUCUGUAAUAAACUGCAGUAUACUCUGGUAGUGAGGAAGAGUUGAGGCACCUGGAGAACUGGAAGACUAUUUGAAGAAGAUGAUGAUACCUACUGAUCACAUGAGUCAAGACUUUGGAGUCUUGUCUGCGGAUUACAUGAGUGGCCUCCAAUGGUGAAGAUUUGAAUUCAAGGUUGCCAAGCAACAAUUUCAGAAGGGGCCUCCUUGCCUUUAGAAAAUAAAUGGGAAACUGGCUCAAGCUGCCUUUGUAUCUAUCUGUCUUGGGUAGCCUCAGCAGUAUGCAUUAGCUUGGGGGAGGAGUAAGAAAAUAGGAGAUAGUUUUAUUCCUAUUUGAAUUAACCCAUUUAUGCCAGAGGUCUCAAAUUUUUUUUGUGUG
rnacentral:lncRNA from 1 species